rnacentral:misc_RNA from 1 species
GUUACCAUUGUUUUGUUUGUUUGACGCUGAUUGCUUUGACACGAAGGGUUGAAAAGGUCCUACUGGCAGGCAAGCCUGCCGAGGAAACAAAGGGUGCGCAAAAAACAGGGUUGAAUAGAACCGGUCAGACCGGCCUACCAUACGUAAUGAUCCUUCCGCAGGUUCACCUACGGAAA